GAAUGUGAGGGCUAUCUGGCUACAACAUCUGUCACCCCAUUGAUCACCAGGGUUGAUUCGGCUGAUCUGGCUGGCUGGGCGGGUGUCCCCUUCCUCCCUCAACGCACCACAUGCGCCGCUCCCGAAGCUGCGCGCUUGGUUGAAGAGGACGAACUUCCCUGGUAAAGGAGGACCGGUUUCAGUCAAAGGUAUACGAGUAGCUGCACUCCCCUUCUAGAACCUCCAAACAAGCUCUCAAGUAAAUGUCAAAACAUGACAAUAAUUUAGUCCUGAAC
rnacentral:snRNA from 1 species